UCUCUGAUCUUUCAUUUUUCUGUCCUUCCUCAGGGAUUACCCUCUCCCAGCCCCCCAUGUCCUGGGACAUGCUGAGCUAUGGAGCAGACGACGUGAUAUGUCAUCAAACAGGUGCUGCAGGCAGAACACUGAUGUGUCAGCCACAGAAACUGAAGGUGGGGAGUACAGAAGGGGGACUGGCACACAGUGUAUUUAUUUUGAGAGAGAGAGACCGAAAGACAGAGAGAAAGAGAGGGAGAGAAUCCCAAGAAGGCUCCGAUCUGUUAGCAUGGAACCUGACUUGGGACUCGAACCAUUGAACUGUGAGAUCAUGACCUGAGCUGAAAUCAAGAUCUGGAUGCUCAAACGACUGAGCCACCCAGGUGCCCCGCAUAGUUUAUAAACAAUAAAAUUCACCCAUUUAUUAGUGUACAAUUCAAUGAUUUUUAAUAAAUUUACAGAGUUGCGCCACCACCACCACUGCCAAGGGCAAAGUCUGAGGGCAAGGCGCCAAUCCUCUCUUGCUCCUUUGCUGGCUAGAAUAGAGUCCCAGCCGUCCUACCUGCUGACAGAAGGCUUCUUGGAGGAGGCUGCAUUCCAGAGGGGCCUUCAGGACCCGGAGGCACCGGCCCAGUAGGGCCCACCAUUCCGCCAUCGUCUGGACAGGCCAGCUUUGCAGACCUGCACACUCUGGCUCUUCACAUUCUUCCCCACACUUCCAUGUGCACUCCUGACAUCCCUGCUACACCCUCUUCAUGUCCUCUCCACCAACUUUGGAGCUGGUCUUCUUGGCCUCCAGGGGAGACGAGAGCUCUGUGUCCAGGCCCAAAGCCACUGCAGCCGCUGGGGCCCCGAGAGCGUGAAUAAUAAUGUAAUGAUAACACAAUAACAGUGUCAACAAUAAUAAUAACCAUGGCGGAACACUUAAAGAGGCAUGGAGCUAAGAACACAUGCAUUAUUUCUUGUAACCACUCCCCCAUCCCCAAGCUCUACCAGGCAGAAGUACCAAGAUCCCCAUUUCACAGAUGAAGAAACUGAGGCUUGGAGAGAUUAAGAUCUGCCCUCUGACACUCUGAUGCCAGAACUCCUCACUCCCCACUCUCGGGAGC